UACGAAGGGGGCUAGCGUUGUUCGGAAUUACUGGGCGUAAAGCGCGUGUAGGCGGGUCCUUAAGUCAGGGGUGAAAUGCCGGGGCUCAACCUCGGAACUGCCUUUGAUACUGGGGAUCUUGAGUCCGGGAGAGGUGAGUGGAACUGCGAGUGUAGAGGUGAAAUUCGUAGAUAUUCGCAAGAACACCAGUGGCGAAGGCGGCUCACUGGCCCGGAACUGACGCUGAGACGCGAAAGCGUGGGGAGCAAACAGG
rnacentral:rRNA from 1 species